rnacentral:rRNA from 1 species
UACAGAGGCCCCAAGCGUUGUUCGGAUUCAUUGGGCGUAAAGGGUGCGUAGGCGGCGAGGUAAGUCGGAUGUGAAAUCCCGGAGCUUAACUCCGGAACUGCAUUCGAUACUGCUUUGCUAGAGGACUGGAGAGGAGAUCGGAAUUCACGGUGUAGCAGUGAAAUGCAUAGAUAUCGUGAGGAAGACCAGUGGCGAAGGCGGAUCUCUGGACAGUUCCUGACGCUGAGGCACGAAGGCCAGGGGAGCAAACGGG